rnacentral:rRNA from 1 species
UCAGACGAUGCGUCAUGCAUAUCAAUAAGCGGAGGAAAAGAAACUAACAAGGAUUCCCUCAGUAACGGCGAGUGAAGCGGGAAGAGCUCAAAUUUGAAAUCUUGAAAGGUCACCUUUCACGAAUUGUAGUUUAAAGAAGUGUUUUCUGUUACGAUCGUAAUAUAAGUUCUUUGGAAUAGGACAUCACAGAGGGUGAGAAUCCCGUCUACGAUUGCGAUUUGUAGCUUUGUGAUACACUUUCAAAGAGUCGGGUUGUUUGGGAAUGCAGCCCAAAACGGGAGGUAAAUUUCUUCUAAGGCUAAAUAUUGGCGAGAGACCGAUAGCGAACAAGUACCGUGAGGGAAAGAUGAAAAGAACUUUGAAAAGAGAGUUAAACAGUACGUGAAAUUGUCAAAAGGGAAGCGUUUGACACCAGUGUUGUUUUCUCGAAAAUCAACCUCUGUUAGCUUUAUGCAUGUUUGUUUAGACCUAAUCAGCUAUCUUGCAUGUUCUAUUGUUUGCAGUGGUGCACUUUUCAGUUUACAGGUCAACAUCAGUUUUUUUUACCGUAAAAAAGUUAAAGAAAGGUAGCUCAUGGCUCCGGUCGUGAGUGUUAUAGUCUUUUUCCUAUGCGGUAGGAGAGACUGAGGUCUGCAGUGUAGGCUAUUUGGCUAGAUACUCAGGUGCUAUGUGAUACCAUUUCAUAAACAACUUGUUGAUUAUGUUUUGUCUAUUGCAUACUCGCUUGUACUAUCAUACCUACGCUUAGGAUGUUGACUGAUAUGUAGUCGU